UACAAACCAAAAAUAAUGCGAGUCAGCGUGGGACCGGAAGAGAUUGAUGUCCCGCUAGGGUGAACGUGUCGCUGCGGCGAACACAGCGCCCCCCUGAGGACAGCCAACGCACCUGUCUCUUCGUCCAGAUGGACAAAUGGUGAGAUGAAGGAGAUGAAGGCCGCUGCACCUGGCACACAAACAGAGGCUUGGCAACAACGGAUAGAAGAAGACGGAUGGAGUUCAAGCAAUGGGCUGUUUAGUUUAUGUACCGCUGUGUUUACAUAUUUUUGGUCUUGAAGUGUAUAAGUACUAUUUCUUUUAAUAAAAACACAACAUAGAAAAUUA